GCCGUGUUCGUAUAGUGGUUAGUAUAUUGCGUUGUGUCCGCAAUAACCCAGGGUUCGGAUCCUGGUCACGGCA
rnacentral:tRNA from 1 species